GUCUUUUUGAUUAAUAAUUUAAAGUUUAAUCUGCCCCCUGAUUAAAAAUUAAAGGGCUGCAGUAUAUUGACUGUACAAAGGUAGCAUAAUCAUUAGUCUUUUAAUUGAAGACUUGUAUGAAAGAUUUGAUGAAAUAUAAACUGUCUCUAAAUUAUUAAUAAAAAUUAAUUUUUUAAUUAAAAAGUUAAAAUAAAUUAAAAAGACGAGAAGACCCUAUAGAGUUUUAUAGUAAUACAUUUUUUAUUAUUUGUAUAUAAAAUUAAUAAUAAAAAAUGUAUUAUUAUUUUAUUGGGGUGAUAGAAAAAUUUAAUUAACUUUUUUUAAAAAUUAUACAUAAAUAAAUGAAUAUUUGAUCCAUUAAUAAUGAUUAUAAGAAAAAAUUACCUUAGGGAUAACAGCGUAAUUUUUUUUUUUAGUACAAAUAAAAAAAAAAGGUUGCGACCUCGAUGUUGGAUUAAGAUAAAAUUUAAAUGCAAAAGUUUAAAAUUUUGAUCUGUUCGAUCAUUAAAAUCUUACAU
rnacentral:rRNA from 1 species